rnacentral:lncRNA from 1 species
UCGAUAAUAUCGACCAGCUCUGUUGAUGGGACUUUUUGCUCGCCGAAGGUCUCAUCUGUCAUUUUCGAUUUUUGUUUUCAAAAUUGCACAUGGGACCUUUGGCAUGCAAGCGAGCUCUCACAGUAAUUUUGAAACUAUUUUGAGUUAAAUUAAUAAAAAUGGAUCCUACACAAGACCAAUUCCGGAUGUUCAUACAAGCAGCAUCACGUCGAAGCCAAAGAUCCGAUGGCAGCAGUCACUAUGGUAGUCAACCUACACCUCCGCAGAUAGAUGAUUCGUGCGAUGAAAAAUUCAAGCUACGGGAGAGUUGCAAAUGCCGAACCUGCACCUUCAAAGAAGGAUAAUUCAGUUUUUAAGCUCUCUAAGAGGAAAAGCGCUGAGUCACCACGGAGCUGAAAGAAGCGCACUGGAACUUUUCAAAAUGGUACGGAGACUCUACCGAAGCAGCAUGCUUGAAAUUAACUGCAGGACAGGUCAACAAUCCUUGCAAAAACAGCAGCAUUCAUCGUGUUCCGUUUCAUGAGAUGAAAAUGUCAAGCUACGGGAAUGUUGCAAAUGCCCGUACAACGGAUUGGAUUUUGCAACAGAAUCACGCAAAGUACGACAGAUGUAGGUUAACAGAUUUAUCCAACACUCGAGUCAAAAGCAGCAAUCUCUCCUCUACAGUAGCCACGCCACCCAUAUAUCGAUCUUUGAAGUCUCACUCUGUAUCCAUCAAAGGACAUGAUAAAUCACUGAGAAAACUGAUCAGUGAUUCAACGGGUACAGAAGAAAUGAUCGAUCUUGAUUCGAUUCCCAGUUACUGUAAAGAAAAUGUCGUUAAAGCAAGUCAUCAGCAGUAUCGAAAAAGCGUUAUUGAAGAAAGAGAGCAGAUCAGCCCAAGCCUGGCUUCUACAAAAUGCAAAGAACAAAUUAUAAUUUCAUUGGAUCAUCCAUACAUUAAGGUGUUCGAACUCUUAGUGCCACCCUCCAUCAUGUUCAAAGAUGCGAGUACAAGUCUAAUGUCUUCUGCGAGGUCUGUUGAUUGCAAUCUUCUUUAAAGUAUGCAAAAAAAACUAUUCGAGAAUUUCGACUACCACCAGUCUUCAACAGUAUCGUACACUCAUGUGCACUGGAUAAGUUCUCCUUUUCAGCAAUAUCAUAGACUGUACACUGCAUGCCUUUGAUACAAAAGAAAAAAGAAAAUCUACCAAAAAAUAUUUUUUUUUUGAAUACCUCACUAUUGCCCAAUAAUUUAAAUAAUAUUUUACUCUAGUUGACGUAAAUUUGAUUUGAAUCCAUUAUUCUUUACAAACUUAAUCAACAUUUACCAGUUUUUAUUGAGUUUUACAAAUAUCCCAAGUAACAAAGGUAUUUUCAUAAAGACCCAUUUGAUAGGUCCCAACUGACAAUAAAAGUGCAAAAGGUCUCAUGUGAUAAAAAUAUCCAAAAAUAACGUAAACAUGUAGUUUUCCGCAGAAUGAACAUCAUUUUUUAAUUUUUGAGCUUUUUUCACGUUUAGAAAUGAAGUUCAAUGUCUUAUUUUAUGUUUCUAUUCUGAUUGGCAUUUGAUUUUCAUCACGAUUUUUUCGAAGCUUAUUUUCUCCGAUAAAGGCAAAAGUCUGAUGGGACCUUUUGAAAUGUUCGUCUCGAUUUACAAUAAAAUCAGGAGUGCAUAUAAAUUAGAUCUGAAAGCGUCAAUAAUCAUUAAAAAUAAUCGUCUUUCGAAGAAAAAUAUAAAAAUAGGGGGUAAGGUCUGACGGAAAUGGUCUGUUUGGCAAUCACGAACCGCGGAUCCAUUUUCACCGACGAAACAGUUCACUUUUCGACCCGAUCGAGUUUGUUUACUUUCACACUCAACGAUCGUACACCGAGCCGGUCGCGAAUAUGCUCUUCUUAUUCUUCACCUCUUCCUCACUCUCGGAGGGGCCCACGAGGCGGAUCACCAAACAAAAUGGCUCUUCGACGCCAAAUGUUUUCCAACACUUUUUCACUCCGAUCCGGCUGGGCACAUCACCUGACGGAUAGUCACGGCUACGCAGCGGAAAAGUCAGCGAAUGGAUUCGGGAGAAAAAGUAAAUUAAGGCACUCGCGAUUA